CAGGGCUCGCUUGACCCCCCAAAUCCAUCUAGAGAGGGAGCUCGAUUCAAUCAAACCCUGCAGGCUUGAGGGCAGAAGCUAACCUGCCACAUCCGCCUCUGUCCAACUGCAAGCAUGGAUGGUCGCUGCAGGAGUUAAGACAGCCAGCGUCAGGCGCACCGGUUGUGGGGUUACAGUGGGGACCGGACAUGGUGCGACCCUUCAGAAACAGCAUCCAUUGAUGCAGCCCUCUCUGCAGAAGCCUGACUCCUGUGUUCCCCGCAGCCUCUGGAGGGAGGCUGAGGCAGGAGGAUCACCCAGAGCCCAAGGCCAGGUUACAUAGUGAGUUCAAGGCCAGUCUGGACUAUAUAGUGAGACUUGUCUCAAGAAACAUGGUAAAUGAGCCCUCCGAAAAAGAAACAAGAAAAGUCAGACCAGGGUUUCAAGUGAAAAUCAGCUAAUUUUCUCCUCUGUGAGGUUUGUAGGAGAGAAAUUUGGAAUCAGAAAUUAACAGCAGUCACACAAUUAAACCAGGGUCUUUGCAGCUUCCACAGCUACAGAAAUGGCAGUGAUGAUCACAAACUUUCAUUUCUCUCCUUUCGCUGAAAUGAAGACGGAAGAAAUGUAACUGCCUCCCAAAAGAGGGUAAAACUUGUACUCGGAGCCUAGAACACACAGGAUAAAAAGAAAGAAUUCGUUUGGCAAGGUUGAAAUUUGGAAGGUCCGCCAGGUGUGGUGGUGCACGUCUGUGAUCCCUGCACUUGGGAGGCUGAGGCAGGAGGAUUGCAAGCGCUGAGGUGAGCUGAGAUCCCAGCUGGAACCUGACCCAAAGGACCAGCGGGGUCAGAGAGGC
rnacentral:lncRNA from 1 species